UAGGGAAUCUUCCACAAUGGACGCAAGUCUGAUGGAGCAACGCCGCGUGAGUGAAGAAGGCUUUCGGGUCGUAAAACUCUGUUAUUGAAGAAGAACGUGCGUGACAGUAACUGGUCAUGCAGUGACGGUAUUCAAUCAGAAAGUCACGGCUAACUACGUGCCAGCAGCCGCGGUAAUACGUAGGUGGCAAGCGUUGUCCGGAUUUAUUGGGCGUAAAGCGAGUGCAGGCGGUCUUUUAAGUCUGAUGUGAAAGCCUUCGGCUUAACCGAAGAAGGGCAUCGGAAACUGGGAGACUUGAGUGCAGAAGAGGAGAGUGGAACUCCAUGUGUAGCGGUGAAAUGCGUAGAUAUAUGGAAGAACACCAGUGGCGAAGGCGGCUCUCUGGUCUGUAACUGACGCUGAGGCUCGAAAGCGUGGGUAGCAAACAGGAUUAGAUACCCUGGUAGUCCACGCCGUAAACGAUGAGUACUAAGUGUUGGGGGGUUUCCGCCCUUCAG
rnacentral:rRNA from 1 species